rnacentral:rRNA from 1 species
UACGGGGGGGGUAAGGCGUUGUUCGGAAUUACUGGGCGUAAAGGGCUCGUAGGCGGCCAACUAAGUCAGACGUGAAAUCCCUCAGCUUAACUGGGGAACUGCGUCUGAUACUGGAUGGCUUGGAUUCGGGAGAGGAAUGCGGAAUUCCAGGUGUAGCGGUGAAAUGCGUAGAUAUCGAGAGGAACACCUGCGGCGAAGGCGGGUUGCUGGGCUGAUACUGACGCUGAGGCGCGAAAGCUAGGGGAGCGAACGGG